UGCCAUGGAGCCAGCCACCAGGUCAGACAUGCUGAAUCUUUCCCGGGCACAUCACCUGAUCUUUGAAGACUGUCUUUGGAGUUUGUAUGACUUAAAUCCUUCAAGCAAAGAAAACUGAAGAGAGGGUGGGCUGCGUAGUCCUAAGUUCUCAACUGCAAAGUUAAAAUGUGCUGAUGUGCUUUGUAAAAGAUUGUUGCUGAAGUCUUACUUUUCAAAAAUGUUCCCCAGUGAACAAGACUGUAGGUGUCAUAAAACAAGGGUAAAGGAAGUGCUAUGCUUUAA